rnacentral:rRNA from 1 species
AGAAUCAACGCUGGCGGCGUGCCUCAGACAUGCAAGUCGAACGCGAAAGUCCCCUUCGGGGGGCGAGUAGAGUGGCGCACGGGUGAGUAACACGUAGGUAAUCUACCUUUGGGUGGGGAAUAACAGCCGGAAACGGCUGCUAAUACCGCAUAAUGCAGCGGCUCGACAUCGAGACAGUUGUUAAAGCGGGGGAUUCGCAAGAACCUCGCGCCUAAAGAGGAGCCUGCGGCGGAUUAGCUAGUUGGUGAGGUAAUGGCUCACCAAGGCGACGAUCU